rnacentral:rRNA from 1 species
UACGUAGGGUGCAAGCGUUAAUCGGAAUUACUGGGCGUAAAGCGUGCGCAGGCGGUUAUGUAAGUCAGAUGUGAAAGCCCAGGGCUCAACCUUGGAAUUGCAUUUGAGACUGCAUAGCUAGGGUGCGGAAGAGGGAAGCGGAAUUUCCGGUGUAGCGGUGAAAUGCGUAGAUAUCGGAAGGAACACCAGUGGCGAAAGCGGCUUCCUGGUCCAGCACCGACGUUCAGGCACGAAAGCGUGGGGAGCAAACAGG